rnacentral:lncRNA from 1 species
CAGAGACACAGCAUGAGUUAGGUGGCUAUUUGCAUAGGACUUCUCUUCUGCACUUUACUUGUACACAUCAGUAGCCAGGUCUGUCUAUGGCUGAUUCACACUCAGCACCCAGAUGCUGAUUUCCUCAAGAGUUGCCAGGCAGAGUAGUAGUCAUGGCUUGGCUCCAUUGCUAUAGCAGAAGCAAGCUAUGCAAUAACUAAGCCCUCCCUUUCUGUGUGGCAUUUCUAUUCUAAGUUGGACAGCUGUGGGACCUUGUGAACAAUUUUUCAUUAAUUUUCCCUUACCCAGUUACCUGGUAAGUUCUGUUCUGUCUGUCUGUCUGUCUGUCUGUCUGUCUGUCUGUCUGUUAGGACUGCAUUUGUAAUGAGAAACUUGAAUUGACCAGGCUGAGCCUAGGGCUAUAGAGUCUACUGCCUGGACUCUAUAAUUGCCCUAAAAUAUGGGCCCUACUGGAGUUUGUUUUUAAAUUUCUCUGACUAGUUUAAUCCAUAGAAUCAUGAGCUUGAUCAUUUAAGAUUAAUUUGGGUAAUAGGAAAGGACAAAAAAAAGUCUCUCUGUAUAGACAGUCUGUUCAUUCAUAUAUUUAUGUUAGCACAUGCGUGUGUGUGAGUAUGGCUAUGUUCGUGUUUCGUUCUCACUUCUCAUUCUGCUGUGUUCUCCAGGUGAACGGAGGCAUCGAGAACACCCUGAAGAAGGAGGUGGCUCACUAUGACUACUACUCCUCUUACUUUGAUAUAUUUCUUUUGGCAGUUUUUCGAUUCAAAGUGCUGAUACUUGGGUAUGCUGUAUGCAGAUUACGCCAUUGGUGGGCAAUAGCGUUGACAACAGCAGUGACCAGUGCCUUUCUGUUAGCAAAAGUGAUCCUCUCAAAGCUUUUCUCUCAAGGGGCGUUUGGCUAUGUGUUGCCCAUCAUUUCCUUCAUCCUCGCCUGGAUUGAGACGUGGUUCCUGGAUUUCAAAGUGUUACCUCAGGAAGCAGAGGAAGAAAACAGACUACUGCUAGUUCAGGAUGCAUCGGAGAGGGCAGCUCUCAUCCCUGCAGGGCUCUCUGAUGGUCAGUUUUACUCCCCUCCCGAGUCUGAAGCAG